rnacentral:rRNA from 1 species
UUAUAUGGUCAAGAAGAGAAGCGCAAACGGUGGAUGCCUUGGCAGUAAGAGGCGAAGAAGGACGUGGAAUCCUGCGAAAAGCUAUGGGGAGCUGGAAACGAGCGUUGAGCCAUAGAUGUCCGAAUGGGGGAACCCGGCUGCAGCGAUGCGGUCAUUUGCAUUUGAAUACAUAGGAUGCAAAGGCGAACUCGGGGAACUGAAACAUCUAAGUACCCGAAGGAAAAGAAAUCAAGAGAGAUUCUCCAAGUAGCGGCGAGCGAACGGGGAGGAGCCUGGCGUGAUUUAUUAUUGAACUGAGUAGAACAAUUUGGGAAAGUUGGCGAUAGAGGGUGAAAGCCCCGUAUACGAAAGUUUGAUGAGGAACUAGGCACGCGAACAAGUAGGCCGGGACACGUGAAAUCCUGGUUGAAGAUGGGUGGACCAUCAUCCAAGGCUAAAUACUACUUACUGACCGAUAGUGAACCAGUACCGUGAGGGAAAGGUGAAAAGAACCCCGGAGAGGGGAGUGAAAUAGAAUCUGAAACCGUUUGCGUACAAGCAGUGGGAGCAUGGUUUAGGCUGUGUGACUGCGUACCUUUUGUAUAAUGGGUCAGCGAGUUACUUUCAGUGGCGAGGUUAACUGAAUAAGGGAGCCGUAGAGAAAUCGAGUCUGAAUAGGGCGAUAGUCGCUGGGAGUAGACCCGAAACCGGGCGAUCUAGCCAUGUGCAGGAUGAAGGUUGGGUAACACCAACUGGAGGUCCGAACCGGGUAAUGUUGAAAAAUUAUCGGAUGACGUGUGGCUAGGAGUGAAAGGCUAAUCAAGCCCGGAGAUAGCUGGUUCUCCCCGAAAGCUAUUUAGGUAGCGCCUCGUGAAUGAUUACUGGGGGUAGAGCACUGUUUCGGCUAGGGGGCUGUCAUGGCUUACCAAACCGAUGCAAACUCCGAAUACCGGCUAAUUG